GAUGAAGAACGUAGUGAAAUGCGAUACGUAAUGUGAAUUGCAGAAUUCAGUGAAUCAUCGAGUCUUUGAACGCACAUUGCGCCCCCUGGUAUUCCGGGGGGCAUGCCUGUCCGAGCGUCAUUGCUGCCCUCAAGCACGGCUUGUGUGUUGGGCCUCCGUCCUCCUCCCGGGGGACGGGCCCGAAAGGCAGCGGCGGCACCGCGUCCGGUCCUCGAGCGUAUGGGGCUUCGUCACCCGCUCUUGUAGGCCCGGCCGGCGCUUGCCGACACAUCAAUCUUUUUUCCAGGUUGACCUCGGAUCAGGUAGGGAUACUCGCUGAACUUAAGCAUAUCAAUAAGCGGAGGA
rnacentral:misc_RNA from 1 species